rnacentral:rRNA from 1 species
AGAGUUUGAUCAUGGCUCAGAUUGAACGCUGGCGGUAGGCUUAACACAUGCAAGUCGUGCGAGAAAGUAUCUUCGGAUAUGAGUAGAGCGGCGGACGGGUGAGUAACGCGUAGGAAUCUACCUAGUAGAAGGGGAUAGCCCGGGGAAACUCGGAUUAAUACCGUAUACCUCCUUAGGGAGAAAGAGGGCCUCUCUUGAAGCUUUCGCUAUUAGAUGAGCCUGCGUAAGAUUAGCUUGUUGGUAAGGUAAUGGCUUACCAAGGCUACGAUCUUUAGCUGGUCUGAGAGGACGAUCAGCCACAUUGGGACUGAGACACGGCCCAGACUCCUACGGGAGGCAGCAGUGGGGAAUAUUGGACAAUGGGCGCAAGCCUGAUCCAGCCAUACCGCGUGUGUGAAGAAGGCUCUAGGGUUGUAAAGCACUUUAAGCAGGGAGAAAAAGUUAUAAAUUAAUACCUUAUAACCGUGAUGUUACCUGCAGAAUAAGCACCGGCUAAUUCCGUGCCAGCAGCCGCGGUAAUACGGAAGGUGCAAGCGUUAAUCGGAAUUACUGGGCGUAAAGCGCGCGUAGGUGGUUUGUUAAGUUGGAUGUGAAAGCCCUGGGCUCAACCUAGGAACUGCAUCCAAAACUAACUCACUAGAGUACGAUAGAGGGAGGUAGAAUUCAUAGUGUAGCGGUGGAAUGCGUAGAUAUUAUGAAGAAUACCAGUGGCGAAGGCGGCCUCCUGGAUCUGUACUGACACUAAGGUGCGAAAGCGUGGGUAGCGAACAGGAUUAGAUACCCUGGUAGUCCACGCCGUAAACGAUGACAACUAGCUGUUGGAAGACAAUGUCUUUCAGUGGCGCAGCUAACGUUUUAAGU